UACGGAGGGUGCAAGCGUUAUCCGGAUUCACUGGGUUUAAAGGGUGUGUAGGCGGGUAUUUAAGUCAGUGGUGAAAUCUCUGGGCUCAACUCAGAAACUGCCAUUGAUACUAUUUAUCUUGAAUAUCGUUGAGGUUGGCGGAAUAUAUCAUGUAGCGGUGAAAUGCAUAGAUAUGAUAUAGAACACCGAUUGCGAAGGCAGCUAACUAAACGAUUAUUGACGCUGAGGCACGAAAGCGUGGGGAUCAAACAGGAUUAGAACCGACGAGUCA
rnacentral:rRNA from 1 species